GAUGAACGCUGGCGGCGUGCCUAAUACAUGCAAGUCGAGCGGAGUAGAUUAGAAGCUUGCUUCUAAUCUACUUAGCGGCGGACGGGUGAGUAACACGUGGGUAACCUGCCCUUUAGAUUGGGAUAACAUCAGGAAACUGGUGCUAAUACCGAAUAGGAAGAUUGGUCGCAUGACCGAUUUUGGAAAGGUGGCGCAAGCCACUACUAAAGGAUGGACCCGCGGCGCAUUAGCUAGUUGGUGGGGUAACGGCCUACCAAGGCGACGAUGCGUAGCCGAGCUGAGAGGGUGAUCGGCCACACGGGGACUGAGACACGGCCCAGACUCCUACGGGAGGCAGCAGUAGGGAAUCUUCGGCAAUGGGCGAAAGCCUGACCGAGCAACGCCGCGUGAGUGAAGAAGGUUUUCGGAUCGUAAAACUCUGUUGUAAGGGAAGAACAGCAGGUAGUUAAAUAAGCUACUUGUAUGACGGUACCUUAUUAGAAAGCCACGGCUAACUACGUGCCAGCCGCCGCCGUAACAC
rnacentral:rRNA from 1 species